rnacentral:rRNA from 1 species
CCUACGGGAGGCAGCAGUGAGGAAUAUUGGUCAAUGGCCGGAAGGCUGAACCAGCCAAGCCGCGUGAAGGACGAAGGUGCCAAGCAUUGUAAACUUCUUUUGUCAAGGGACAAAAUCAGGCUCGAGAGCCUGACCGAGGGUACUUGAAGAAAAAGCAUCGGCUAACUCCGUGCCAGCAGCCGCGGUAAUACGGAGGAUGCGAGCGUUAUCCGGAUUUAUUGGGUUUAAAGGGUGCGUAGGCGGGCUUUUAAGUCAGCGGUAAAAAUUCGGGGCUCAACCCCGUCCGGCCGUUGAAACUGGGGGCCUUGAGUGGGCGAGAAGAAGGCGGAAUGCGUGGUGUAGCGGUGAAAUGCAUAGAUAUCACGCAGAACCCCGAUUGCGAAGGCAGCCUUCCGGCGCCCUACUGACGCUGAGGCACGAAAGUGCGGGGAUCGAACAGGAUUAGAUACCCUUGUAGUC